UUUGGGAAGUGAUGCCAAAAACUCAAACAGAGGCGCCAGCUAUGCUGAAUCGAUUAUUUAUUUGCACGUCACUCUGAUCCCAAA
rfam:Lupinus angustifolius cultivar Tanjil contig_22742, whole genome shotgun sequence.